GCGUUUAACAGCACAGAAUGUAUUUUUUGCAAUCGAAUGUUAGUCAGCGGUUUAAUUUCACAUUAAUGCAAUUCAAAUCAGUUAAAUGCAUGAAUAUUUUUUUGUUUCGUUCAAUGUAUAACCCCGUGAUCCAAAUAUCAUUCUGUGACUUUUCGGUAUUUUUUAGCGCAUUCUGGCCACCCUCAUACACAUAACAAAAGACAGGAAACAAAUUUAAAUUAAUACAGAAUUUGCGAAUAUUUUCCUGUCAUUAAAGAACAAUGUAAGUAGACACAAACACACGCACAAGACAGGAGCAACGAACUCGCAUUGCAAAAUGUUGCACAACCAAAAUUCCAUGUCCUAAUUUGUUCUGAAAACGUCUCUCUCACCGCCUCCUCAAAACGGAACAAAAAAA